AUGACGUCACCCCCAGAGGGGUCGGGGGACCCCCCCUCCCCCACUGGGGGUCACCAGGACCCCCCCGGGGGUCACCAGGACCCCCCCGGUUUGGGGGUCCCUUCCCCCCCCGGUUUGGGGGUCCCCCCCCACAUUGGGGGUCCCUUCUCCCCCCCCUCGGGGGUCACCAGGACCCCCCCGGUUUGGGGGUCCCCCCUUUUCCGGGUGGGUCCCCCCCCCAAUUUUGGGGACAAUUGUGACUUUUCGGAGCCCCAAAUAAAUCGGAUUUUGUCCGAGCUUGGGAGAGGGGACAAUGAGGGGGCACCAGCUGUCCCUGUCACCUGUCUGUGUGUCUGUGUCACCUGUCUGUCCAUGUCACCUGUCCAUAUGUCUGUGUCACCUGUCCGUGUGUCCGUGCCACCUGUGUGUCUGUGCCACCUGUCUGUGUGUCCGUGUCACCUGUCCGUGUGUCUGUCUGUGUCACCUGUCUGUGUCUGUGUCACCUGUCUGUGUGUCCGUGUCACCUGUCUGUGUCACCUGUGUAUUUGUGUGUCCGUGUCACCUGUCCAUGUGUCUGUGUCACCUGUGUGUCUGUCUGUGUCACCUGUGUGUCCGUGUCACCUGUCUGUGUGUCCGUGUCACCUGUAUGUCUGUCUGUGUCACCUGUCCGUGUGUCCGUGUCACCUGUGUGUCUGUCUGUCCAUAUCACCUGUCCGUGUGUCUGUCCAAGUCACCUGUUUGUGUGUCCACCUGUCCCUGUCACCUGUGCAUGACAAGCUGCCAAUGUCACCUGUCCAUGUCACCUAUCCCUCUAUCAAUGUCACCUGCCCAUGUGUCUGUCUGUCCGUGUCACCUGUCCGUGUGUCUGUCCCUGUCACCUGUCUGUGUCACCUGUCUAUGCCAUCUGUCCGUGUGUCCUCCUCUUCCAUGUUAUCUGUCCCUGUGUCUGUCAAUGUCACCUGUCCCUGUCACCUGUCCCUGUAUGUGUUUGUGUCACCUGUCCAUGACAAGCUGCCAAUGUCACCUGUCCGUGUCACCUAUCCCUGUCUAUCAAUGUCACCUGUCCAUGUGUCUGUCUGUCCGUGUGUCCGUGUCACCUGUCUGUGUGUCUGCCUGUGUCACCUGUCCCCUGUCCCUGUCCCCAUCCCUGUCCCUGUCCCUGUCCCCAUCCCUGUCCCUCUCCCACUGUCCCCACAUGUCCCCACAUGUCCCCAAUGUCCCCACGUGUCCCCAAUGUCCCCACGGUGCCACUGUCACCGCUGUCACCUUUGUCACCGCUGUCCCCGUCCCCACCGGGACACCGCCGCGGUGGCAGUGUGUGACACUGUCACCCCCUGA
rnacentral:lncRNA from 1 species